GAUUGAAGAACGUAGCGAAAUGCGAUAAGUAAUGUGAAUUGCAGAAUUCAGUGAAUCAUCGAAUCUUUGAACGCACAUUGCGCCCGCCAGUAUUCUGGCGGGCAUGCCUGUUCGAGCGUCAUUACAACCCUCAGGCCCCCGGGCCUGGCGUUGGGGAUCGGCGGAGCCCCCCGUGGGCACACGCCGUCCCCCAAAUACAGUGGCGGUCCCGCCGCAGCUUCCAUCGCGUAGUAGCUAACACCUCGCGACUGGAGAGCGGCGCGGCCACGCCGUAAAACACCCAACUCUUCUGAAGUUGACCUCGAAUCAGGUAGGAAUACCCGCUGAACUUAAGCAUAUCAAUAAGCGGAGGA
rnacentral:misc_RNA from 1 species